rnacentral:rRNA from 1 species
CGGACUGGUGAGUAACGCGUGAGGAACCUGCCUUCCAGAGGGGGGACGAACAGUUGGAAACGACUGCUAAUACCGCAUAACGUGCAGCCGGGGCAUCCCGGAGGCACCAAAGAUUUUAUCGCUGGAAGAUGGCCUCGCGUCUGAUUAGCUAGUUGGUGGGGUAACGGCCCACCAAGGCGACGAUCAGUAGCCGGACUGAGAGGUUGGCCGGCCACAUUGGGACUGAGACACGGACCAAACUCCUACGGAAGGCAGCAG